AUGCACGCUGGCGGCGUGCCUAAUACAUGCAAGUCGAGCGAACAGACGAGGAGCUUGCUCCUCUGACGUUAGCGGCGGACGGGUGAGUAACACGUGGAUAACCUACCUAUAAGACUGGGAUAACUUCGGGAAACCGGAGCUAGUACCGGAUAAUAUAUUGAACCGCAUGGUUCAAUAGUGAAAGACGGUUUUGCUGUCACUUAUAGAUGGAUCCGCGCCGCAUUAGCUAGUUGGUAAGGUAACGGCUUACCAAGGCAACGAUGCGUAGCCGACCUGAGAGGGUGAUCGGCCACACUGGAACUGAGACACGGUCCAGACUCCUACGGGAGGCAGCAGUAGGGAAUCUUCCGCAAUGGGCGAAAGCUUGACGGAGCAACGCCGCGUGAGUGAUGAAGGUCUUCGGAUCGUAAAACUCUGUUAUUAGGGAAGAACAAAUGUGUAAGUAACUAUGCACGUCUUGACGGUACCUAAUCAGAAAGCCACGGCUAACUACGUG
rnacentral:rRNA from 1 species